rnacentral:rRNA from 1 species
CGCUCAGAUGAACGCGGGCGGCGUGCCUAAUACAUGCAAGUCGAGCGAACAGACGAGGAGCUUGCUCCUCUGACGUAGCGGCGGACGGGUGAGUAACACGUGGAUAACCUACCUAUAAGACUGGGAUAACUUCGGGAAACCGGAGCUAAUACCGGAUAACAUGUUGAACCGCAUGGUUCAACAGUGAAAGACGGUCUUGCUGUCACUUAUAGAUGGAUCCGCGCCGCAUUAGCUAGUUGGUAAGGUAACGGCUUACCAAGGCAACGAUGCGUAGCCGACCUGAGAGGGUGAUCGGCCACACUGGAACUGAGACACGGUCCAGACUCCUACGGGAGGCAGCAGUAGGGAAUCUUCCGCAAUGGGCGAAAGCCUGACGGAGCAACGCCGCGUGAGUGAAGAAGGUCUUCGGAUCGUAAAACUCUGUUAUUAGGGAAGAACAAAUGUGUAAGUAACUAUGCACGUCUUGACGGUACCUAAUCAGAAAGCCACGGCUAACUACGUGCCAGCAGCCGCGGUAAUACGUAGGUGGCAAGCGUUAUCCGGAAUUAUUGGGCGUAAAGCGCGCGUAGGCGGUUUUUUAAGUCUGAUGUGAAAGCCCACGGCUCAACCGUGGAGGGUCAUUGGAAACUGGAAAACUUGAGUGCAGAAGAGGAAAGUGGAAUUCCAUGUGUAGCGGUGAAAUGCGCAGAGAUAUGGAGGAACACCAGUGGCGAAGGCGACUUUCUGGUCUGUAACUGACGCUGAUGUGCGAAAGCGUGGGGAUCAAACAGGAUUAGAUACCCUGGUAGUCCACGCCGUAAACGAUGAGUGCUAAGUGUUAGGGGGUUUCCGCCCCUUAGUGCUGCAGCUAACGCAUAAGCACUCCGCCUGAGACCCGACUGG